rnacentral:rRNA from 1 species
AGCGAACGCUGGCAGCAGGCUUAACACAUGCAAGUCGGACGCCCCGCAAGGGGAGUGGCAGACGGGUGAGUAACACGUGGGAACGUACCCUUUGGUUCGGAAUAACUUGGGGAAACUCAAGCUAAUACCGGAUAAGCCCUUAUGGGGAAAGGUUUACUACCGAAGGAUCGGCCCGCGUCUGAUUAGCUAGUUGGUGAGGUAAUGGCUCACCAAGGCGACGAUCAGUAGCUGGUCUGAGAGGAUGAUCAGCCACACUGGGACUGAGACACGGCCCAGACUCCUACGGGAGGCAGCAGUGGGGAAGAUUGGACAAUGGGGGCAACCCUGAUCCAGCCAGGCCGCGUGAGUGAUGAAGGCCUUAGGGUUGUAAAGCUCUUUUACCCGGGAUGAUAAUGACAGUACCGGGAGAAUAAGCCCCGGCUAACUCCGUGCCAGCCGCCGCGGUAA